CAGUAGCCGCGGUAAUACGUAGGGCGCAAGCGUUAAUCGGAAUUACUGGGCGUAAAGCGUGCGCAGGCGGUUCGCUAAGACAGAUGUGAAAUCCCCGGGCUUAGCCUGGGAACUGCAUUUGUGACUGGCGGGCUAGAGUAUGGCAGAGGGGGGUAGAAUUCCACGUGUAGCAGUGAAAUGCGUAGAGAUGUGGAGGAAUACCGAUGGCGAAGGCAGCCCCCUGGGCCAAUACUGACGCUCAUGCACGAAAGCGUGGGGAGCAAACAGGAUUAGAUACCCCCGUAGUCCCUGUCUCUUAUAC
rnacentral:rRNA from 1 species